CCUACGGGUGGCAGCAGUGGGGAAUAUUGGACAAUGGGCGAAAGCCUGAUCCAGCCAUGCCGCGUGUGUGAAGAAGGCCUUCGGGUUGUAAAGCACUUUCAGUGGGGAAGAAAGCCUUGGGGCUAAUACCCUCGAGGAAGGACAUCACCCACAGAAGAAGCACCGGCUAACUCCGUGCCAGCAGCCGCGGUAAUACGGAGGGUGCGAGCGUUAAUCGGAAUUACUGGGUGUAAAGCGCGCGUAGGCGGUCUGAUAAGCCGGUUGUGAAAGCCCCGGGCUCAACCUGGGAACGGCAUCCGGAACUGUCAGGCUAGAGUGCAGGAGAGGAAGGUAGAAUUCCCGGUGUAGCGGUGAAAUGCGUAGAGAUCGGGAGGAAUACCAGUGGCGAAGGCGGCCUUCUGGACUGACACUGACGCUGAGGUGCGAAAGCGUGGGUAGCAAACAGGAUUAGAUACCCUGGUAGUC
rnacentral:rRNA from 1 species